GGGACCCGUCUUGAAACACGGACCAAGGAGUCUAGCAUGUGCGCGAGUCAUUGGGACUCUAACGAAACCUAAAGGCGCAAUGAAAGUGAAGGUCCGCCUUGCGCGGACCGAGGGAGGAUGGGCGGUCCCGAGGGGCCGCCUCGCACUCCCGGGGCGUCUCGUUCUCAUCGCGAGAAGAGGCGCACCCAGAGCGUACACGCUGGGACCCGAAAGAUGGUGAACUAUGCCUGGUCAGGACGAAGUCAGGGGAAACCCUGAUGGAGGUCCGUAGCGAUUCUGACGUGCAAAUCGAUCGUCGGAACUGGGUAUAGGGGCGAAAGACUAAUCGAACCAUCUAGUAGCUGGUUCCCUCCGAAGUUUCCCUCAGGAUAGCUGGCGCUCGCUUCUCGCGAGUCUCAUUCGGUAAAGCGAAUGAUUAGAGGCAUUGGGGUCGAAACGGCCUCAACCUAUUCUCAAACUUUAAAUGGGUGAGAUCUCCGGCUUGCUUGAACUGUGAAGCCGCGAGAUAUCGGAUCAGAGUGCCAAGUGGGCCACUUUUGGUAAGCAGAACUGGCGCUGUGGGAUGAACCAAACGCUGAGUUAAAGCGCCUAAAUCGACGCUUAUGGGAUACCAUGAAAGGCGUUGGUAACUUAAGACAGCAGGACGGUGGCCAUGGAAGUCGGAAUCCGCUAAGGAGUGUGUAAA
rnacentral:rRNA from 1 species